rnacentral:rRNA from 1 species
CGGACGGGUGAGUAAUGCUUGGGAAUCUGGCUCAUGGAGGGGGAUAACUACGGGAAACUGUAGCUAAUACCGCGUAGUAUCGGAAGAUGAAAGUGUGGGACCGCAAGGCCACAUGCCAUGAGAUGAGCCCAAGUGGGAUUAGGUAGUUGGUUAGGUAAAGGCUGACCAAGCCGACGAUCUCUAGCUGGUCUGAGAGGAUGACCAGCCACACUGGAACUGAGACACGGUCCAGACUCCUACGGGAGGCAGCAGUGGGGAAUAUUGCACAAUGGGGGAAACCCUGAUGCAGCCAUGCCGCGUGAAUGAAGAAGGCCUUCGGGUUGUAAAGUUCUUUCGGUGAUGAGGAAGGUGUUUGUUUUAAUAGGACAAGCAAUUGACGUUAGUCACAGAAGAAGCACCGGCUAACUCCGUGCCAGCAGCCGCGGUAAUACGGAGGGUGCGAGCGUUAAUCGGAAUAACUGGGCGUAAAGGGCACGCAGGCGGUGACUUAAGUGAGAUGUGAAAGCCCCGAGCUUAACUUGGGAAUUGCAUUUCAUACUGGGUCGCUAGAGUACUUUAGGGAGGGGUAGAAUUCCACGUGUAGCGGUGAAAUGCGUAGAGAUGUGGAGGAAUACCGAAGGCGAAGGCAGCCCCUUUGGGAUGUACUGACGCUCAUGUGCGAAAGCG